rnacentral:rRNA from 1 species
CUCACCUCUUACCUUUCCGAACAGAGAAGUUAAGCCCGUUUGCGCCGAUGGUACUACGUCUGUGGAAGAGUAGGUCGCCGCCUUUU